rnacentral:rRNA from 1 species
CCUACGGGUGGCUGCAGUGGGGAAUAUUGGACAAUGGGCGAAAGCCUGAUCCAGCCAUGCCGCGUGUGUGAAGAAGGCCUUCGGGUUGUAAAGCACUUUCAGUGGGGAAGAAAGCCUUGGGGCUAAUACCCUCGAGGAAGGACAUCACCCACAGAAGAAGCACUGGCUAACUCCGUGCCAGCAGCCGCGGUAAUACGGAGGGUGCGAGCGUUAAUCGGAAUUACUGGGCGUAAAGCGCGCGUAGGCGGUCUGAUAAGCCGGUUGUGAAAGCCCCGGGCUCAACCUGGGAACGGCAUCCGGAACUGUCAGGCUAGAGUGCAGGAGAGGAAGGUAGAAUUCCCGGUGUAGCGGUGAAAUGCGUAGAGAUCGGGAGGAAUACCAGUGGCGAAGGCGGCCUUCUGGACUGACACUGACGCUGAGGUGCGAAAGCGUGGGUAGCAAACAGGAUUAGAUACCCCAGUAGUC